rnacentral:tRNA from 1 species
GUUUAUAUAGAUUAAAUUAUAAAAUUUUAAAGCUGUUAACUUUAAGAUGCUAAAAAGCUAUAAACG